rnacentral:rRNA from 1 species
CAGUCGCCGCGGGAAUACGAAGGGGGCUAGCGUUGUUCGGAAUGACUGGGCGUAAAGGGCGCGUAGGCGGUUCGUACAGUUGGAUGUGAAAUUCCUGGGCUUAACCUGGGGGCAGCAUUCAAUACGUGCGGGCUUGAGUGUGGAAGAGGGUUGUGGAAUUCCCAGUGUAGAGGUGAAAUUCGUAGAUAUUGGGAAGAACACCGGUGGCGAAGGCGGCAACCUGGUCCAUAACUGACGCUGAGGCGCGAAAGCGUGGGGAGCAAACAGGAUUAGAGACCCCCGUAGUCCCUGUCUCUUAUAC